rnacentral:misc_RNA from 1 species
UCCGGUUUGGCACCGGCAGUCCCCCGAGAGUCCUCAGCGCCUUGCGGCCUGUUAGCAACACGGGGCGGGGGUUGCGCUCGUUGCGGGACUUAACCCAACAUCUCACGACACGAGCUGACGACAACCAUGCAGCACCUCUGCUGGCUCCCUUGCGGGUCAGCCUCUGUUUCCAAAGGCUUACAACCAGUAGUUCAAGCCCAGGUAAGGUUCUUCGCGUUGCGUCGAAUUAAACCACAUGCUCCACCGCUUGUGCGGGCCCCCGUCAAUUCCUUUGAGUUUCAACCUUGCGGUCGUACUUCCCAGGUGGAUUACUUAAUGCGUUAGCUGCGCCACUGACCGGUAAACCGGCCAACGGCUAGCAUCCAUCGUUUACGGCGUGGACUAC